AAUUAAGCUAGUAAGGGCUUACGGUGGAUGCCUAGGCGCAAAGUGCCGAUGAAGGACGUGGGACACUGCGAUAAGCUUCGGGGAGCCGUGUACAGGCUUUGAUCCGAAGAUUUCCGAAUGAGGAAACUCACUGUGGCGAACCCACAGUAUCCCCUGGUUGAACACAUAGACCAGGGGAAGGAGACCCGGGGAACUGAAACAUCUUAGUACCCGGAGGAAAAUAAAUCAACGAGAUUCCCUUAGUAGUGGCGAGCGAACAGGGAACAGCCCAAACCGGCGGGCUUGCCUGCCGGGGUUGUAGGGCCUGGCGUUUGGAGUAGACGAGUUAGCGGAAAGGUGUGGGAAAGCCUACCAAAGAGGGUGAUAGUCCCGUACGCGAAAACUUGAAAGCUUCUGCCAGGUACCUGAGUACGGCCGGACUCGUGUAAUCCGGUCGGAAUCUGGGGAGACCACUCUCCAAGGCUAAAUACACUUUGCGACCGAUAGUGAACUAGUACCGUGAGGGAAAGGUGAAAAGCACCCCGGUGAGGGGAGUGAAAUAGAACCUGAAACCGUAAGCCUACAAGCAGUCGAAGGGCUAAUGGCGUGUCUGUGCCUCUGGGAAACCAGAGUGCGCGGCGCUAUGCCUAACGGCGUGCCUUUUGGAGAAUGAGUCUGCGAGUUAAUCUCAGUGGCAAGGCUAAGGGAGUGACACCCGUAACCGUAGCGAAAGCGAGUCUGAAUAGGGCGUACAGUCGCUGGGAUUAGACACGAAACCGUGUGAGCUACCCAUGGUCAGGGUGAAGCGAGCUUAAUCGCUCGUGGAGGCCCGAACCUUUCAACGUUGCAAAGUUGUGGGAUGAACUGUGGGUAGAGGUGAUAUGCCAAACGAACUCGGAGAUAGCUUGUUCUUCCCGAAAUAGCUUUAGGGCUAGCGUCAUGCGUUUAGUACCGGAGGUAGAGCACUGAAUGGGCGCGGGGGCUUCCUGCUUACCAACCCCAAUCAAACUCCGAAUGCCGGUACUCCAAAGCAUGGCAGUCGGACUGCGGGAGAUGAGUUUCGUAGUCAAAAGGGAAAGAGCCCAGAUCAUCGGCUAAGGUCCUCAAGUCUAUGCUAAGUGGGAAACGAUGUGGGAUUACUCAGACAACCAGGAGGUUGGCUUAGAAGCAGCUACCCUUUAAAAAGUGCGUAACAGCUUACUGGUCAAGUGAUCCUGCGCGGAAAAUGUAACGGGGCUAAGCAUAGCACCGAAGCCAUGGGUUCCAGCGCAAGCUGGAGCGGUAGGGAAGCGUUCUGCCAGCGGUGAAGGUCGACCGGAAGGACGGCUGGAGCAGGCAGAAGUGAGAAUGCAGACAUGAGUAGCGUAAAACAUGUGAGAACCAUGUUCACCGUAAGUCUAAGGUUUCCGACGGCAGGUCAAUCCGCGUCGGGUUAGUCGGGCCUUAGCCGAGGCCGCGAGGCGUAGGCGAUGGACAACCGGUCAACAUUCCGGUACCACUUAAGAGGAGCGAUGAGGGGACGCAGCGAGGUAGGUCAGCCAGCGAUUGGUUGUGCUGGUGCCAAGCGUGUAGGCAAUGAGGCUGGUAGGUAAGUCCGCCGGCCGAGCUGAGGCGCGAUGGCGUGUCCCUGAGGCUGAAGUGAUUAAGCCUUGCUGCCAAGAAAAGCCUCUAAGCGAUGAAUCUUAAGUGCCCGUACCGCAAACCGACUCUGGUAGACGGGUAGAAUAUACCAAGGUGAACGGGAGAACCUUCGUUAAGGAACUAGGCAAAUUAACCCCGUAACUUCGGGAGAAGGGGUGCCCCUGCGUGUGACGUUCAUACGAUCUGAGCGCGCGGGGGUCGCAGUGAACAGGCUCUAGCGACUGGUUAUCAAAACCACAGGUCUCUGCUAAGUCGUAAGACGAUGUAUAGGGGCUGACACCUGCCCGGUGCCGGAAGGUUAAAGGGAGAGGUUAGCGUAAGCGAAGCUUUGAACUGAAGCCCCGGUGAACGGCGGCCGUAACUAUAACGGUCCUAAGGUAGCGAAAUUCCUUGUCGGGUAAGUUCCGACCCGCACGAAUGGUGUAACGACUGGAGCACUGUCUCAACGAAGGACCCGGUGAAAUUGAAAUACGGGUGAAGAUGCCCGUUUCCCGCACCAGGACAAAAAGACCCCGUGGAGCUUUACUGUAGCUUGGCAUUGAGUUUGGGCAUAAUCUGUGUAGCAUAGGUGGGAGGCUUUGAAGCUGGGGCGCUAGCCUCGGUGGAGCCGUUAGUGAAAUACCACCCUGAUUCUGUCUUGACCCUAACCCCUGUCCGUAAUCCGGCUGGGGGACCGUGCCAGGUGGGCAGUUUGACUGGGGCGGUCGCCUCCCAAAAUGUAACGGAGGCGCCCAAAGGUUCCCUCAGGCUGAAUGGAAACCAGCCUAAGAGUGUAAAGGCAUAAGGGAGCUUGACUGCAAGGCCAACGCGCCGAGCAGAGACGAAAGUCGGGCUUAGUGAUCCUACGGUUCCAAGUGGAAGGGCCGUAGCUUACCGGAUAAAAGCUACCCCGGGGAUAACAGGCUAGUCACGCCCAAGAGUUCACAUCGACGGCGUGGCUCGGCACCUCGAUGUCGGCUCAUCGCAUCCUGGGGCUGUACAAGGUCCCAAGGGUUGGGCUGUUCGCCCAUUAAAGCGGUACGCGAGCUGGGUUCAGACCGUCGUGAGACAGGUCGGUCUCUAUCCGGUGUGGGCGUAAGGGAUUUGAGGGAAGCUGCCCCUAGUACGAGAGGACCGGGGUGGACGGACCGCUGGUGUGCCAGUUGUCGUGCCAACGGCAUCGCUGGGUAGCCACGUCCGGCAGAGAUAACCGCUGAAAGCAUCUAAGUGGGAAACUCGUCCCAAGAUAAGAUCCCUCGUCACAAUAAGUGAGUAAGGCCGCAGGUAGACCACCUGCUUGAUAGGCAGCAAGUGUAAGCGCAGCAAUGUGUUCAGCUAAGCUGUACUAAUGGCCGAGGGCUUAAUUCG
rnacentral:rRNA from 1 species